rnacentral:tRNA from 1 species
GCCCCCGUAGCUCAGUGGAAUAGAGCGCCACCCUCCGGAGGUGGGCGUCGCCGGUUCGAAUCCGGCCGGGGGCA